GUCGACGAUGAUCUCCAGCUUGCUGGGGGGAUUAGUGGCGAACGGGUGAGUAACACGUGAGUAACCUGCCCUUGACUCUGGGAUAAGCCUGGGAAACUGGGUCUAAUACUGGAUACGACCUUCCCACGCAUGUGGUGUUGGUGGAAAGCUUUUGUGGUUUUGGAUGGACUCGCGGCCUAUCAGCUUGUUGGUGGGGUAAUGGCCUACCAAGGCGACGACGGGUAGCCGGCCUGAGAGGGUGGACGGCCACACUGGGACUGAGACACGGCCCAGACUCCUACGGGAGGCAGCAGUGGGGAAUAUUGCACAAUGGGCGCAAGCCUGAUGCAGCGACGCCGCGUGAGGGAUGAAGGCCUUCGGGUUGUAAACCUCUUUCAGUAGGGAAGAAGCGAAAGUGACGGUACCUGCAGAAGAAGCGCCGGCUAACUACGUGCCAGCAGCCGCGGUAAUACGUAGGGCGCAAGCGUUAUCCGGAAUUAUUGGGCGUAAAGAGCUCGUAGGCGGUUUGUCGCGUCUGCCGUGAAAGUCCGGGGCUUAACUCCGGAUCUGCGGUGGGUACGGGCAGACUUGAGUGAUGUAGGGGAGACUGGAAUUCCUGGUGUAGCGGUGAAAUGCGCAGAUAUCAGGAGGAAC
rnacentral:rRNA from 1 species